CUACGGGUUGCUCCAGUGAGGAAUAUUGCACAAUGGGGGGAACCCUGAUGCAGCAACGCCGCGUGGAGGAUGACGCAUUUCGGUGUGUAAACUCCUUUUAUAUGUCAAGAAAAUGACGGUAGCAUAUGAAUAAGCACCGGCUAACUCCGUGCCAGCAGCCGCGGUAAUACGGAGGGUGCAAGCGUUACUCGGAAUCACUGGGCGGAAAGGACGCGUAGGCGGGUUGGAAAGUCAGGUGUGAAAUCCUACAGCUUAACUGUAGAACUGCACUUGAAACUUCUAAUCUAGAGUAUGGGAGGGGGAGAUGGAAUUAGUGGUGUAGGGGUAAAAUCCGUAGAUAUCACUAGGAAUACCUAAAGCGAAGGCGAUCUCCUGGAACAUUACUGACGCUAAGGCGUGAAAGCGUGGGGAGCAAACAGGAUUAGAUACCCCCGUAGUC
rnacentral:rRNA from 1 species